GAUAAGCACAAUGCGGAACAUACACGUAAAGGAACACUAUCCAGUCUUAAAAGGAAGGCUGCUUUAAUACACGCUACAACAUGGGUGAAUCUAAAGACAUGGGUAACGAAACCAGUCACCAGUGGACACACACUGCAUGCCUCCAGCUGUGCGAAGUGCCCAGGGCAGCGGCACGCAGACAGGAGCAGGACGGUGUGGCCAGGCUGGCAGGCGGUGUGGGAAGUGCGAGUUAUUAACGACUCCCCGGUCUCCACCCCGCUGUGUGUACAGUACACCAUUGAGUGUACAGUACCGCAGUGUUAAGUUCAAUGGUUCACAGGGGACAGCUUAUGUUGUGGGGGUUUUGCUUGGUUUUUUUGUGCAGUGCUGCGCGUCAACCCCAGGGCCUUACUAUGGAACUUUGUCCUCAGCACUGUUCAUUUUUUAACUUGAGGAUUUGCACUGUAAAAUGAGGGCACUGAAGGACUCUAACUUUGGAGUUUUCCCCUCCUUAUUCAAGUGAAAGAACAGAAUGAAAGCCUCACACCUAAAAGUACGAAGUGCAGGAUCCAGGUACACUGAUUCCGAGCUCAAAGCUUACUACAUAUCAACAAAAUAACAAACAAAAAGCAGAACAAAAGCAGCAAGUGUAACAGGAAAAGACUGGGAGACAGAUGAAGAGGGACAGAGACGACAAAAGAAACAGAAUCACAGGAAGAACGAUGAAGGGGAAGUCCCAAGAACGUUUUUUAAAGUAAAGAAGCACGGAUGAAAUGACUAAAGAUCUUAUAAAUACAGGAUGAUCUCUGUUUUCCUGGAAGCCUGAAACUAUCACUUAUAUCCCCCGGGUAGAGCUGAAGUCUAGAAAUUCCCAUAUAAGGUCCUUUCAGCCAUGGCUGUUUCCUCAGGCAUUACAGCUCUCAUCUGAGAAAGGCAGUAGCAGAAGAGUCUUCCGCAACAAAGCCACACACACUAAAGCUUGUGGCUUCCAUCCUUCCCAGUGGUGAGGACGCCACAGAGCUUUCCGGGGCCGAGGGGUGGAGACCGGCGGGUCGUGACCUUACAGCUCUCCCAUUGUGAAUGUAGCUACUGGAAAAACCUUACACUGCACAUGGAGAUCUCUACGGGAUAGCACUGCCGCAGGUCAUGAAAUAAGCCUGGGCUAAGGACAAAAGAAAUGGAUCCCACAAGUGCUUUAAGGAGGAAGCCCUGAAAGCUCGGCAGAUCCUGUUCCAACUCAGGCAAAAGGAAUCCCUGUGUCUAACCACGCCGCAGGGGAGCAGCCGCCUGCUCCAGAAUCCCGGCUCCAGGACCUACCAGCCAGGCAGGUUUCUGUGCUCACAGCUCAGAUUCUUCUACAUGGGCAACACAAAACUGGCUCCCAAGCCGGAGGGACUGUAAACACAAGGAACGCACUCCAGCCUUCAGCAACGUGGAGUGCAUUCUCAGCCAGGGCCAUUUCCCUUCCGGUGGGAGGUCGGCAGGCACACAACUGGGUCAUCCAGUGGUGAGUCACGCGUGGGCUCCCGCUCUUCUGUCCUCCGUUCUCUUCACUCCCCAGAAUGCACCCACGCAGCUAACCUGCAGGCACCACUCCCUUCCCCAAGGGACGUUACUUCUCCAAGCCCACGGUCUGCCAUAAGCCUCUCCCCUGCUCUUUGCUGGUCCUUGACUUAGUUAUUAAAAUUAAUCUCGAAACCUCA